UUGGGCAUUUACAACAGUUUCUCCCUUAGCAAUGUUACCUGUAAGCAUGUUAUGCAAAAGAAAACAAACAAUUAUGUUGAAGAUUUAGUGAAAAAAUCGUAAAAGUAAAGUAAAGUUUAUAUCGUAAUUGGAAAUAGUGUCCAUGGUGUACCCUUUAUAAAAAUCAUUUUUUGAAAACAUUUCCUUAACUUUGAAUAAUGAAACAUAUUGAUUAUAGAAACAUGCACCAGUAAAAACAUAUAGAAUAGGGGAAUGGAGCACUUAUUUCGUAACUGAAUCUUAAAAUACACCUUAAAUCAUUGGUGUUACUGUCAAUGGUGAGACCAUUUUGAUAAAAUAACACCAUUGACCAGUUUAGUAACACCACUGAAUACAUCAUGACAAUCAGCAUUGUUUUGUGUUUCUUUCAUGUUUAACAAGCUAAACAUCAUAUUAUUUAUGAAAACAAUACUUAUUUAACAAUGUUUUAACAAUAUCAUGUAUUACAUAUACACAGUUUUCACAAACUGAUGUAUGCUGGUAACACCAAUGACACUAUUUAGUAACACUAUUGACAUUUUUAGUUAUUGAUGUUAUGUUAUAUAAUUUGAGAUUUUUUAGCCUAAGAAUUAUUUUUUCAUCUUUUUCUUUUGCUCGGUGAUCUUGGCUUUGUGUUCAGUACUUGAUAAAGGUAAAAUUUGAAAUGUGAUGUCAUUGGUGAUACUUUUGUGUCAUUGGAGUUACUGAAGGGUCAGUGGUGUUACUAUAUAAAAAUGCGACAUUUUUUUUUUUUUUUUUAUCUUUAUUCAUAAAUGAAAGUGUUUUUAGGUCGUGUACGAAGGAUUAGGUAUAUUAUUAUCAUUUAAUCUUAUACAAUUCACAUAUAUUCA
rnacentral:lncRNA from 1 species